UACAGAAACUACUGCAAAUCAUUCGAGCAUUGCUAUAGAAUCUAGCAUCGGCGAUCUAGCAGCUCUAGAAUUUAUAGUUGGUUCCUUGGUAUCUAAGGGGGAUAUUUCUAUAAGCACGGUAUGUUUAUUUGAUUGUCAUAAUUUCAGGUGGGGAGAAGUCAAGCUAUAGGACCAGUUAAGGUUAGAAGGGAUGCCACAGCUCUUGCUAUGCGGGGUUGGCACUCUCAACGUCUUCUUAGCAAUGGUUAUGUUGGCGACUCACUUAUCAAGGUUUAUGGAGAUUAUCAAAUGUUAUGUUUAUGCAUUUGGUUUUGUGCUCAUACCAUGUUGUAAAAUUUCUUCCAUGUGAAUAAAUAUGCUGGAUCAGGUCUAAUCAGAAGGCCUUCAUUGUUUCUAGUCAUCACAUUGUCUACACUAUUAAAAUAGAGAAUUGGGACAAACCACUCCAUCUGGUCAAACUGUGCUGUAAAAUUGUCAACAUCUAUAUAUUGGUUAGUAUUAUGCAGCUAAUUUACCUAUGGCAUUUUGAUUUCUAUGCAUUAGUUGUAACAGGCUCAUAUCAGAAGCACUUUCCCUGUACAUUAUCUUCCCUUAACACUGCAUUUUAGAAACAUCUGAAACUAUAUGCAAGUAGAAUUGCUGGCGAAUUAUGUAUUGUAGAACAUCUGAAACUUCAUCUCACAAUAGAUAAUGAAGUAAAAUGAAAUACCCAAAACCACCAAGAACAUUAACAAAGUUUGUAUUCUUCUCUC